UAGCAGUGUUUGUUUGUGUGGCAGUGGUGUGAGUGUUUGGAACAGUGCGGAGUGUCGUCGUGGAAAGGGUUCUGCAGCUAGGGUUGGGCAGCCACACUCGGAGUUGUGCGAGUGAGCUGCGGAAGUGUUUGGACACGCCGUGCUCAUUCAUUGUGACGGAGUGACUUACAGUAUGCUGGCUGCCGCAAUGUUUUAUAUAACAUUGUUUUGUCUUUCUUGUUUUGUAAUUUGAUGUUUAUCUGUUCAUUCAGUAAUCCACUGGGUAACAGGGUGAGGGUAAUAUACCCCGGGAUAAACGCCUGGACUUUUAGGAACGGUUAGGAUCACUCCCCCGGGUAUGUUUAAAAGGUGCAGUUCUUUGUUUUUAUGUAUGUGGUAGAGCAAUUUAUAUGCAAAUUCUGAGUGAACAUGUUUACCAUCCCUGAUGUUUUUGACGUGAAGCUCUAACACGUGUGUGUAUGUUAAAUAUGUUAAACUGUGAGAUUUAUCAUGUUUGUGUCCUUUACAAACUGCAACAGUUGCUACCCUAUUGCUAGCUGCUGUUCUCUCUACCAUUAUUAAAGUGUUCAUUUAGAUAUCCUGUAUGGGUGAUUCUCUGAUAUUUUAAGACUGAAAUUCCCUCUAGCCUCACCUAAACUAGAUUCCAGUUUUGGUGACGAAUGAGCCAUGUACUAGGGGGGUUUCUUUUCUCUUUGUUGUUGUUUUUUGUUUUGUCUUGUUUAUUUUGUUUUGUAAUUGGUCAGCCUUGGUGCUGGUUGGGUCAGGGUCUUUUGGGAGGCUAAUUAGGAGCGGGUUUCCUCAAAGUGUGUUCUGGAGAGUGGAGAAAAAAAGAGUGCAGUGCCUCUGAAUUUCUAGCGUGGAGUGUUUUGUUUUCCUGAAUUACAGGCUUGCAGUGAUUGAAGUGGUUUUGUAUUUUUUUCACGUGUGAUACAGAAACCUUAGCUUCCCAUACUGAAACUCAAGUCUCAGAUGACCCUUCCAAUCCAAGGCUGAGUGUUUAUGUUGACCAACCUAUCUACUGCCUCAUAAAAAUAAAUAAAGAUUGUAUUUUCAUA